AAAACAGAGUACAAGUUCCAACUUUUUCAAAGUUGAUGACCUUCUUUUUUUGUUUGUUUUUUUUUAGUCUUCAAGUUCAAGCUGUCGUAAGCACGGCAGUGAGGGAGCAGAAGUCGAUUACCACCGUAAAGGUCCUUAACUUGUAGACUCAUGUAACCGUUCUAUUGGGCUGUGGUAGUUUGUAAUAUGUGUGACUUGUGCUUGUGUACAGUGUGACAGUGGACAGUGGACAGUGUGACGUGUGACAGCAGUGGGGUGGGGGAACUAGGAGGCGCUAGACGCUGAGCAAGCGAGCGAACCAAAAAAACAACUUCGAGACAUAUCGAUAAAAUUAUGUACAUAUCGAAUAAUAUCGAUUAAUAUCGAAUUAUCUUAAAAUCGAAAAUUUUCGUACAGGCUGAAUUUUGGAUCGUACAAGGCUUCAAAUUAUGUGACGCGUACGAUAAUUAUCGUACGAAUGGGAUCACUGGAAUGGGAUCACUGCCUGUCGGCGAAAUAAAAAGAGAUAGAACAUGGGAGGUUGAUGUUGUCUCUUUCUAAAUUGCGCUGAGCGGCGCAUGCGCAUUAGUCUGCUAGUAGAGGUUAAGGUAGCUGGUAUCGUGUACGAUAAGCACAAUUCUAAUGCGCAUGCGCCGGUACCGCAUGAGUUAGAGAGAAACAUCAACCUUUCGUUUUUUGCUGCUAUAUUCAUGCAGAGACAUUUCCACUUACACAACCGUCUAUGGUUUGUCUCCUCUAUCUGUAAUAUCUCUAUGGGCAUUUCACGUGAAGCGGACAAUCACGGAGCCUAGAUAACAGAAGGGUGAUCGCAAUUUAUUAUAAAUGUUUGAAAAUGAGGGGACAAAUCUUUUGCCACUACAGCGCGUUAGUGUGGCUAAUGUCACGUUUUUAAAACCUUGUUUAGUUCCACGGGAAUAUGACAAUUGUACUCACGCGUUAGUCAAAAUAAAUAACCCAAUCUUAUAAUUAACGUUAAAAAUAGCUAUAAGAACAAAUUUUUUAUUAUCUUACAAUUAUUUCCAAGAUAUUAUCGUCAACUUGUUAUGUAAAUCUAUUCAAUUUCAUCUUACCUAGUCGCAGUUGAGUAAAGGAUGGAAAACUAAAUUUAAAAAGUCCAAUUAAAAGUAAAUUGUACUUUUUACAAGACUAGAAAUUUCUGUAGCAUAAGUAGAGUUAAAAAACAUUUGCAUCAUUGCAUUUUUUUAUAUUAAUAAUUAAUAGCUAUCAAUUAAGAUUAUGUUACCUGUUGUACAGUGAAUAAAGACGUAUUUCUCUGAUUUAAUUUAGCAUUCUUAUUACGAUCCUUGACUCGUCCACUUGUACACCCGUGAACAAUACGUUUAUUUAUCAUUUCUAAAUAAAUAUUACUUUUUAUAAAUUAAAAAAACAUUAAUACAAUUGUUAAUGAUGCAGUAUUGUCAACAAUUGUCAAUGAAAAAUAUGACGUUAUAAACUUGACAUUAGCGAACAUAACGAAACCUAGCGGCGUAUUUCCGAAAAUGAUCUUUCCCUUUCUUUCCAGUCGCGUUUGAUAGUUAUUUUCCUAUGUCGAUCGCCCUUCUGGUAUCUAGGCUCCUUGGUUAUCACUUUGGUUGCGAUGCGUUUGUAAUAUUGUGUAAAAGUAAUUUUGUUGUUAAUUGUAAUAAAAUGAAUUAUUUCGGUAAUCGGUGUUACAAUCCUUUUGACUUACCUUCUCAUACGAAGUCUAAAACUGUUCGAAAAAUUUCAACAAGUUUAGCUAAGAAGUGGGGAGCUUCAUCUUUUGCUUACGUUUGUACGUCCUGCAGGUUACGCCUUUUGAAAGAAACACCUCCAGAUACCAAUCUCGUUCAUUCGUAAAACAGCCAAACAUCGAGUGAAUAUUCACUAAACUCUCAAACCGAAUCAUUUGUUCCCGAUUGCGAUAAAUACAAAACUAUUUCAACUCAGACGGAUAGCGCAGUAGUAGAGCAAGAAAUUCUAGGCCAGUUACUUUAAUACUUACAAUUGCGCCUAAGUCCUGGAGCGAAAAUAAACUAGCAGAAGAAUUUGGGACAUCGCGAAAACAAGCAAAAAAGGCAAAGGAACUUGUGGAUCAAUUUGGCAUUUUGUCAUUGCUCGAUUCUCGUUGCUAACGUCAGUAUUCAACUAGAAUCAUGAAAAUAAACUAAAACACGGAAGCAUAGUCAUGAUAUCAGACGAUUUAAAACACGACACAGCUACGUUUUACGCUUUUCAGAAACUGUUACAUCAACAUCUUUCAAACAAAGAAGAUUUAGAAAUAGAAGCUGAACUUCACUUCCAUGCGAUCUCACAUGGAAAGGGGCCAUGUGAUGGACUUGGCGGGAACCUCAAAAGGCUGGCAACUCGUGCAAGCCUUCAACUGCCUGCAAAUAAGGCAAUAGUUUCUCCUAUAAGAUUAUACGAAUGGGCGAAAACGGCAUUAAGGGACCAUCUCAGUGUAAAAUUUAAAAAAAGUCGAUUUUGUUUGGUCUUAUCUUGAAGUACAUAUAGUUGUGCGUGUUCUGUAAAAUUUUCAAAUUUAAAUUCGAAUUAUUACGGUCGCUACAACCUUUCUUGGAAAAAGAGAUUGGAGCGUAAGUUGACGCGCUCUAAACUUUAAACGCGUUUUUCUCAAAAUGCCCUUUUUACAAACGGUGUCACCUCUCAGAGGGAGAGUUUUCAAGCUAUCGACUUGAAAUUUUUACGGAAUUUUUUUUACUUUAUUCUUUAUGUCCCUAUGGAAGCUUUUUUUUUAAUUCUUUCUAUAUUUUCACACGAAAAACUGUUGAAAAACAGGACUAAAUUUCGUACUUUUUCUUCAAGCCGUCGCCAUUUUGUCAAAUUUCAAAAAAAAAAUAAAACCUCGAUAGGGAGGUACAUAGCGGCUUCCCUACAGAUUAAUAAUCAAUUUGAUUUUUUUCUUUGAGAUGCAAACUGCGAUCACAAUCGUUGACAUUUUUUUUACUCACUUUUAAAAAUAAUUAUUAACAAUAAGUAAAAAUAAAUAAAAACGAAUGAAAAAAAUAUUUUUGUAUUGUUAAAGAGUGGUCUUAUUCG
rnacentral:lncRNA from 1 species